rnacentral:rRNA from 1 species
GUGGGGAAUAUUGCACAAUGGGCGCAAGCCUGAUGCAGCCAUGCCGCGUGUGUGAAGAAGGCCUUCGGGUUGUAAAGCACUUUCAGCGGGGAGGAAGGCGUUAAGGUUAAUAACCUUGGCGAUUGACGUUACCCGCAGAAGAAGCACCGGCUAACUCCGUGCCAGCAGCCGCGGUAAUACGGAGGGUGCAAGCGUUAAUCGGAAUUACUGGGCGUAAAGCGCACGCAGGCGGUCUGUCAAGUCGGAUGUGAAAUCCCCGGGCUCAACCUGGGAACUGCAUUCGAAACUGGCAGGCUAGAGUCUUGUAGAGGGGGGUAGAAUUCCAGGUGUAGCGGUGAAAUGCGUAGAGAUCUGGAGGAAUACCGGUGGCGAAGGCGGCCCCCUGGACAAAGACUGACGCUCAGGUGCGAAAGCGUGGGGAGCAAACAGGAUUAGAUACCCUUGUAGUCC